rnacentral:rRNA from 1 species
AGAGUUUGAUCCUGGCUCAGAUUGAACGCCAGCGGCGUGCUUAACACAUGCAAGUCGAGCGAGAAAGGCCCCUUCGGGGGCUGAGUAGAGCGGCGCACGGGUGAGUAACGCGUGGAUGAUCUACCCUUGGGAUCGGGAUAACAGUGGGAAACCGCUGCUAAUACCGGGUACGCUUCAUGCAUCGCGGCAUGAAGGAAAGGCGGCCUCUGACAUAAGCGGCCGCCCAAGGAUGAGUCCGCGUCCUAUUAGCUUGUUGGCGGGGUAACGGCCCACCAAGGCUACGAUGGGUAGCUGGUUUGAGAGGAUGACCAGCCACACUGGGACUGGAACACGGCCCAGACUCCUACGGGAGGCAGCAGUGGGGAAUAUUGCGCAAUGGGCGAAAGCCUGACGCAGCGACGCCGCGUGAGGGAAGAAGGCCUUCGGGUCGUAAACCUCUGUCAGGAGGGAAGAACCGCUUGAAGCUGAAUAGGCUUUAAGCCUGACGGUACCUCCAAAGGAAGCACCGGCUAACUCCGUGCCAGCCGCCGCGGUAAUAC